UCAUUAGUUUUUUAAUUGAAAGCUUGAAUGAAUGGUUUGAUGAAAAAAUAACUGUCUCUUUUUUAAUAAAUAGAAAUUUAUUUUUAAGUUAAAAAGCUUAAAUAAAUUUAAAAGACGAGAAGACCCUAUAGAACUUUAUUAAUUUUAAUUAAAAAAUUUUAGUAUUAUAUAUUUUUUAUUGAGAAAUUAAUUUAAUUGGGGUGAUUGAAAAAUUAAUUUAACUUUUUUUUUAUUAAUACAUUAAUUAAUGAAUGAUUGAUCCAUAAAAAUGAUUAUAAGAAUAAGUUACCUUAGGGAUAACAGCGUAAUUUUUUUGGAGAGUUCUUAUCGAUAAAAAAGAUUGCGACCUCGAUGUUGGAUUAAAAUUUAUUUUUGGUGUAGAAGCUAAAA
rnacentral:rRNA from 1 species